UUUUCAUUAGCUCAUCUGGUAGAGCAUCAGACGGAUAAUCUGCAGGUAGUCGGUUCAACUCCGACAUGAAAAACCA
rnacentral:tRNA from 1 species